ACCCAUAUAAAUUAAUAAAUUAUAUUAAAAAUAGGAAAAACUUCAAAUACUGUCUUUAUGGUUCAACGCUUUUUCAUUUUAGAACCUUAUAGUUUAAGCUGUAUCACUUUAAUAUCCUGUGAUUUUGUUUUUCUCUUUUCAUUAUCCCUUCCGUUAAUUUUUUUUUAUUAAAUUAAUGAGAAAGUUUAAACUACACGGUAUUAAAGUAAAAAUUUUGUAAACCACACGAUACUAAAGUGAAUAUUCGAUAAACAACAGGGGUAUUUGAAGUUUUUUUUCUCUACAUUUUAACAAAGAGUUAACGGAGGGGAUAACGUAAAGAAAAAAAAUAAAAAACAUGCUACAAAAAUGAUAUAUUUUAAACCACAAUGUACUAAAAUAAAAGAGUGAAAAAGCGAUAAACCAUAGGGAAAAUAUUUGA
rnacentral:lncRNA from 1 species